CUAGUUUACUAGAUGCUGACGAGUGGCAAACGGGUGAGUAACACGUAGGAAUCUACCCAAUAGCGGGGGAUAGCUCAUCGAAAGGUGGGGUAAUACCGCAUAAGCCCUUCGGGGGAAAGCAUUUAUGCACUAUUGGAGGAGCCUGCGCGCUAUCAGUUAGUUGGUGGGGUAAAAGCCUACCAAGACUACGACGGCUAGCCGAUGUGAGAGCAUGAUCGGCCACAAGGUUACUGAGACACGGAACCUACACC
rnacentral:rRNA from 1 species